UACGAAGGGGGCUAGCGUUGUUCGGAAUUACUGGGCGUAAAGGGCGCGUAGGCUGUGCUGUAAGUCAGGCGUGAAAUCCCCGGGCUCAACCUGGGAAUUGCGUUUGAUACUGCGGCGCUGGAAUGCAGGAGAGGAUGGCGGAAUUCCCAGUGUAGAGGUGAAAUUCGUAGAUAUUGGGAAGAACACCGGUGGCGAAGGCGGCCAUCUGGCCUGUAAUUGACGCUGAGGCGCGAAAGCGUGGGGAGCGAACAGG
rnacentral:rRNA from 1 species